CAGGUUCCACCACUCGGGUCGCGUAUCCAUGGCCACUUGGCGCUCGCCGCGAACCCUCCGGUUGCAUCGUCCUCAACGGCCGCUCUCCCGACCAUGCCGCAGGUGGCACACCUACAGGCUGUCCCAGAGAGGAAUAGGCCGUCGCCAGUGUCAAGGCCCGGUUAUCACCUUGGGGACACUCGUCCCGCGUAUGACCCGGCAGCCCACACUUAAAACACUUGCCCUCUCGCUGAUCACACUGCUGUGGAUAGUGAGGGCCUCCACAAAUAACACAUCUCGC
rnacentral:lncRNA from 1 species